rnacentral:rRNA from 1 species
UACGAAGGGUGCAAGCGUUAGUCGGAAUUACUGGGCGUAAAGCGUGCGUAGGUGGUCUCUUAAGUCCGUUGUGAAAGCCCUGGGCUCAACCUGGGAACUGCAGUGGAUACUGAGAAGCUAGAGUGUGUCAGAGGAUGGUGGAAUUCCCGGUGUAGCGGUGAAAUGCGUAGAUAUCGGAAGGAACACCAGUGGCGAAAGCGGCUUCCUGGUCCAGCACCGACGUUCAGGCACGAAAGCGUGGGGAGCAAACAGG